rnacentral:rRNA from 1 species
AUUGAACGCUGGCGGCAGGCCUAACACAUGCAAGUCGAACGAGUGGCGGACGGGUGAGUAAUGUCUGGGAAACUGCCCGAUGGAGGGGGAUAACUACUGGAAACGGUAGCUAAUACCGCAUCCCAUCGGAUGUGCCCAGAUGGGUUUAGCUAGUCGGUGGGGUAACGGCUCACCUAGGCGACAAUCCCUAUCUGGUCUGAGAGGAUGACCAGCCACACUGGAACUGAGACACGGUCCAGACUCCUACGGGAGGCAGCAGUGGGGAAUAUUGCACAAUGGGCGCAAGCCUGAUGCAGCCAUGCCGCGUGUAGGAAGAAGGCCUACGGGUUGUAAAGUACUUUCAGCGAGGAGGCGUUACUCGAAGAAGAAGCACCGGCUAACUCCGUGCCAGCAGCCGCGGUAAUAC